rnacentral:rRNA from 1 species
UACGUAGGAUGCAAGCGUUGUCCGGAAUUAUUGGGCGUAAAGAGCACGCAGGCGGUUUGGCAAGUCGGACGUGAAAAUCCGGGGCUCGACCCCGGACCUGCAUCCGAAACUGCCCGACUAGAGGUAGGUAGGGGAGAUCGGAAUUCCUGGUGUAGCGGUGAAAUGCGCAGAUAUCAGGAGGAACACCGGUGGCGAAGGCGGAUCUCUGGGCCUUACCUGACGCUCAGGUGCGAAAGCUAGGGGAGCGAACAGG